rnacentral:misc_RNA from 1 species
UCACCGUGUCAAGCUUGGCUUGUUGUUGGGCCCUUUGUCACUGGGUGACAGGUCCAAAAGAUAAUGGCUGGUGUCAUACCGACGCUAUAUGCAACGAGCUUACCACAGCACGCAUCUGGUGGUCGUGUGGCCCGGUCCUCCCCCCUUUAUUUCUCAA